GUAGUACUCCCUCCGUCCGGAAAUACUUGUCGGAGAAAUGAAUGUAUCUAGAUGUAUUUUAGUUCUAGAUACAUCUAUUUUUAUCAUUUUUUACAUUCAUUUCUCCGACAAGUAUUUCCGGACGGAGGGAGUACUAU
rfam:Triticum aestivum genome assembly, contig: Triticum_aestivum_CS42_TGACv1_scaffold_061499_1DL